AUAUGCAAGGCUUGCUUCUGAUGAAGACUUAAUAAAUGGCAUGGCUAGCACUGAUGAAAUGAAAUUGUAGUGAAACAAGGUUGAUAGCCUGCUUUUGAAAGGUGUAGCACUAGAUCAGAGUUCAUCUAUUAAAACCUUCACUCUGAAUGAUCAACUGAUGUACAGGAUUUCUGCAUCGUGCUUUGUCCUCUGAAGAGUUGCUUUAAAAUAAUUAACAAUGAAUCACAGAAGGGUUGAAGCUGGAAGGAACUUCUGGAGGAUCAACCCCUGUUCUAGCAGAGUCAUCCAGAGCAGGAUGCUUACACUCAUGUAGAGACUUAUGAAGAUCUUCAAGGAGGAGACAGCACAACCUCUCUGGACAAUCUCUCUGUGCCAGUGUUCCAGCACCUGCACAACACAGAAUUGUUUCCUGAUGUUCAGGAUGAAUUUCCUGUGUCCCAGUUUGUGCCCAUUGUCACCUGUUCUGGCACGGGGCAACACUGAAAAGAGCCGAACCCUGUCAUGUGUGCACCCGCCCUUUAGGUGUUCAUAGACAUUGAUGAGAUCUCUCUUUGUAUAGGCAGCAAAUUUAGAGAAUCUUUUCUUGAAGACAAUAUGAUUUUCAGCUAAUAAUUCUACACAAAAAAAAAAAAAAGAUUUUUUUUUAAAGAAUGCUACUUUAUAAUAAUUUAAAAAAAUCUUUAAGUAUUAAGAACAUGUUUCAAUUUUUAGCUUCUAAGGAACAGUUCCUCACAUUUUCACUCCAUGAAAACAGCCACAGUACUAUUACCUUCCCCAGGUAGGAUGACUCUAAAAUCCACAAUGGACUUGAAAAAUUGAUUACUUUUAUAACUAACAUUUUUAUAUGGAUAUUCACAUGAUGUGUUUACUUUUUCCUGUCAAAUUUAUCCCAAAGUAAAUUUCAAUAACAUGAUCACUUACAGGAAAUGAAUAAAACACUUUAGAAAUGC
ensembl:lncRNA